GGGCCCGUAGCUCAGCCAGGUAGAGCGCCCGGCUCAUAACCGGGUGGUCCGGGGUUCAAAUCCCCGCGGGCCCACCA
rnacentral:tRNA from 3 species